rnacentral:rRNA from 1 species
AGAGUUUGAUCCUGGCUCAGAAUCAACGCUGGCGGCGCGCCUAACACAUGCAAGUCGAACGAGAAAGCAGGAGCAAUCUUGUGAGUAAAGUGGCGUACGGGUGAGUAACACGUGGAUUAUCUACCCUCUUGUGGGGGAUAACCCUGGGAAACCGGGGCUAAUACCGCAUAAGCUCGAGAGAGGAAAGCAGCAAUGCGCAGGAGGAGGAGUCCGCGGCCGAUUAGCUAGUUGGUAGGGUAAAAGCCCACCAAGGCAGAGAUCGGUAGCCGGCCUGAGAGGGCACACGGCCACACUGGCACUGAAACACGGGCCAGACUCCUACGGGAGGCAGCAGUGGGGAAUCUUGCACAAUGGGGGAAACCCUGAUGCAGCGACGCCGCGUGAGCGAUGAAGCCCUUCGGGGUGUAAAGCUCUUUCGUCAGGGAAGAUUAUGACGGUACCUGGAGAAGCAGCUGCGGCUAACUACGUGCCAGCAGCCGCGGUAAUACGUAGGCAGCAAGCGUUGUUCGGAGUUACUGGGCGUAAAGGGUGUGUAGGCGGUUCUUUAAGUUUGGUGUGAAAUCUCCCGGCUCAACCGGGAGGGUGCGCCGAAUACUGAGGGACUAGAGUGUGGGAGAGGAAAGUGGAAUUCCUGGUGUAGCGGUGAAAUGCGUAGAUAUCAGGAGGAACACCGGUGGUGUAGACGGCUUUCUGGACCAUAACUGACGCUGAGACACGAAAGCGUGGGUAGCAAACAGGAUUAGAUACCCUAGUAGUCC